rnacentral:sRNA from 1 species
UCACAUAUGCGGUGCAUCGCGCCCCGGAA